UGGAACACGGGCCUCGACUGUUUACCAAAAACAUAGCCCUCGGCUAAUAUGAAAAUAGAUGUAUAGAGGGUGAUGCCUGCCCAAUGGUUGUAUCUAAAAGCGGUUGAUAAAAGUCGACCUCGUAAGGACAAUUGAAUGGCCGCGGUAACACUGACCGUGAUAAUGUAGCGUAAUCAAUAGCCAAUUAAUUGUUGGCCAGUAUGAAUGGCGCCACGAAGGCCCCACUGUCUUAAGGAAAUUCCCAGUGAAAUUGAAUUCGUAGUGAAGAUGCUACGUCCAAUUUGUUAGACGAAAAGACCCCGUUGAGCUUUACUGGAGCACUUACAUGGCCCCGGCCUUCCCAUGCCUGGGAAUCGGCCGAAUUUAAAUGGGCGGCUUAGAUUAUGUGGCAGCCCCCCGCUGGGGCAAAUGAAACACCACUCCCCCAUGUCAAAGGGGCUAACCCCCCCCCCUUGGGGGGGACAGUGUAAGUAGGACAGUUUGGUUGGGGCGACCGCCUUUUAAAAAGUAACGAAGGUGCGCUUAAGGUGCGCAAUUAAUGACUGAAGCCUGACUGCGAGGGGGACACCCCGAGCAGACACCCCAAAGCCCGCCCGAAGGGCGGCGGUGGGGUGGGCCAUAGUGACCCCUUAAUUUAGAGUGGAAUAGUUAACGAUCAACGAAUAAAAG
rnacentral:rRNA from 1 species